rnacentral:rRNA from 1 species
UACGAGGGGGGCGAGCGUUGUUCGGAAUUACUGGGCGUAAAGGGCGCGUAGGCCGGCCUGUUAAGUCGAACGUGAAAUCCCCCGGGCUCAACCCCGGGAACUGCGUCCGAUACUGGCAGGCUUGAAUCCGGGAGAGGGAUGCGGAAUUCCAGGUGUAGCGGUGAAAUGCGUAGAUAUCUGGAGGAACACCGGUGGCGAAGGCAGG